rnacentral:rRNA from 1 species
GACGAACCGAGCGAACGUUGUUCGGAAUCACUGGGCGUAAAGGGCGCGUAGGCGGCCACCGCAAGUCGAUUGUGAAAUCUCCGGGCUUAACCCGGAAAGGUCAACCGAUACUGCGGGGCUAGAGUGCAGAAGGGGCAACUGGAAUUCUCGGUGUAGCGGUGAAAUGCGUAGAUAUCGAGAGGAACACCUGCGGCGAAGGCGGGUUGCUGGGCUGACACUGACGCUGAAGUGCGAAAGCUAGGGGAGCGAACGGG